GCUCUCUGUCUGCAUGAUGUGGUAUACGACAUGAACGUCUACUAUGAACAUUUGAGUUUGAAAGUCAAUACGUGUUAAACUUUGAGAAUUAGGAUUAAUUUUCUCUUACGAAAUGGCGCUUGUGAGAGCAGAAGUACAGAAUAACUACCAUGAAAAAAAAAUGCAUUAAAACAUAAGAACAACCAUGAAAAAA